rnacentral:rRNA from 1 species
UAAUACGGGGGGGGCAAGCGUUGUUCGGAAUUACUGGGCGUAAAGGGCUCGUAGGCGGCCAGCCAAGUCGGACGUGAAAUCCCUCGGCUUAACCGGGGAACUGCGUCCGAUACUGGUUAGCUUGAAGCCGGGAGAGGGAUGCGGAAUUCCAGGUGUAGCGGUGAAAUGCGUAGAUAUCUGGAGGAACACCGGUGGCGAAGGCGGCAUCCUGGACCGGUCUUGACGCUGAGGAGCGAAAGCUAGGGGAGCAAACGGGAUUAGAUACCCCGGUAGUCCUAGCCCUAAACGAUGAAUGCUUGGUGUGGCGGGUAUCGAUCCCUGCCGUGCCGGAGCUAACGCGUUAAGCAUUCCGCCUGGGGAGUACGGUCGCAAGGCUG